CCUUGUUGACCAGGAUGGUCUCGAUCUCUUGACCUCGUGAUCCACCCGCUUCGGCCUCCCUAGAUUUCCUUUCUUAAUUAUGUUUUCUUCAGACUAGGACAGUUAGCUUGCACUUGCCCAGCAUUAUGGGUGCUAUAAAGAGAAGCCAGCAUAGGGUUAAACAUUCGCCAUGGAAAAUCCUGUCUACAACUUGCAAUCCCCUUGUAAUCAUUGCCCUGCUCUGUGACCUGGUGUCUGGACUAAGUGGGGAAAAGCCAUGGAGUAGAGACCAGAAGGUUUCAAAUUUACUCUCAGCCCUACCUCAAGCUUGCUGUACGACUUUUGGGACAUUCCCUUUUCCUGUCAGGAGUCUGUCUUCUGUCUCCCUUGUCAAUGAGGAUUUAGACUUACCUGAGAAUUCAGUGAAACCUCAGAACCCUCACCUCAGAAAAAAAACAUUUCUGUGUUUCCCUAGGCUUUCAAACCAAGGACUCCCUUAUACAAGAAAGCUCUCAGAGUCUUUUUGCUCUUAUAUUCUAGGACUAUAUGACUGAACAGAUAGGUAUAUACCUAAGAAAAAUGAAAACACAUCCACACAAAAACUAAUACAUGAAUGUUCAUAACAGCAUUAUUCACAAUAGCCAGAAGACAGAAACAAUUCAAAUGUCCAACAACUGAUGAAUGGAUAAACAAAAUGUGUUAUAUCCAUACAAUGAAGUAUUAUUUAAUCAUAAAAAGGAAUGAAGUACUGAUACCUUCUAAACAUAGAUGAGCUUGGAGGUCUGAAAACAUUAUGCUAAGUGAAAGAGAUGAGCAAAAGGCUUUUGUAUGAGUCCAUUUAUAGAAAAUGUUCAUAUACUUAGGAUAAAUACUCUUUCGUGAAGCUUUUGUUUCAGUUAUAUAUGAAUAUAAAUGUACUGUAAUGUGAAAUAUAUUUCAUAUAGCAAGUAAUAGUCAAAACAGUUUGAAAACCACUCUUCUAGAUUAUGUUGAGACAGAUACUUGUGAUCAGGACAGUACCAUAAUAUAAACAACUAAAAUCUUUCUCCUUGUCUUUGAAAGUUCAGUCUUACCGUGUCUCUACUUCCUCACUAUCUUUUGACCCCUCUACCCACUGCAUCCUGGCUUUAUCUUUACUAUCCUAUAGAAAACUGAAACCUCUUGUGAAUAGAAAAAAACAACCAACUUGUUACUAAAUCUCAUGGCCAAGUUUCCAUCUUUACCUUUCCUAACUUUUCUCCCAUUUGAUGCCACUGAUGCCUUCCUCAAUCCUGAAAUGCUCCUUUGCCUUGAGAAUGCCAUCCACAUGACCUGUAUAUUUAUGCUGUCUUCACUCCCUGCAUGGGUUCUUCUUCAUCCAGUCAUUAAUGCCAUUAUUUCUCAGGUUCUUCUGAUCAAAGUCCCCUUUUCUUCUCAUUUUGCAUUUGCACUGAAUGGACUCAUCUACUUCCAAGGCUUGAACUACCAUCUACAUUGCACAUUGAGGCAUCUCCUUUCAACAAAACUACACCACUGGGAAACAAAACAGACAUAGGACCUUGCUUGCAUAUAAGCAGAAAGCUGCUGAUGACUCCAAGGUAGCUCUCUUGGACCCCAGGAAUGAAGGUCCUACUGCUUUCUGGCUAUCUCCUCCUUAAUCUCUCGUAAGCAUAUCCAAGUUAAAAAGUCAAAAAUUGAAGUCAUCUCCCCCAACUCUUGCCAGUUUCCUUCUUCCCCUGAGUCCUUUGUUUCUUGGGAAUGGCAGUCACACUCUGAACUAGCCAGAAACCAAGAAGAUAUCUACUCAUUUUUCCUCUCCCUCACCUCACUGAUGGCCAACUAGUCUUUUAGUCCUGUUGAUUCUCUUCCUCCUUAAUCUCUCUCUUAUUUGUUUCUUUCUCUCUCCCUGCUGCCACUACUUUUGAUCAGUUCUGAUCUAUCACAAUUCAUUACCCGUUCUCUUGUGCUGCUCUCCCUCCCCAAUUAAGCCUCUACUUUUCUCCCCAAAUUCUCUCUCAAAAGCAGUUUUGCUUUUUAUCAAUUUUGUGGUAAAUACUUUGGAUUGGUUUGUAAGGAUUCAGUCCUUCUAGCCUGCCUUUCUAUAUUGCUAAAAAAUCUAAAAACCAAAAAACUACAACAACAAUAAACUGGCAUUUCCAGGCUUCCUUUGCAGCCAGUGUUCUGGAUAUGACAUAGUGAUGCCAAUCAUACACACAUGCACAGUAUUUAGAAGGAGUUGGUGGGUGAGGCAGAAGUCAUGUCUCUGUUGUUUCUGUUGGAAAGCAUAAUGAUGAAGGUGUUAGGGUUUUCUGUGGCUGUGUUACCAUAGAUUCCAGUGUCUAGCCACUGGCUUUGUGCAUUUUGAGAGCCAGAGUAUGGGAUUUUUUUUUUUUGUCACUGAGGAUCUGAUAGACAUAGUGAUACUCUAGCCAACAGAUGGUUAGGGCUGUGGCAGCUUCCUCAUUCCUAAAUUGCAGACAAGGUGGCAUGCUCCUAGAGCCCCCAAUGCCUCAUCUUCCUGCUUGUCAGAGAGAGACAGAGAGAGAGAGUAGCUACCCUGACAUUGUUCUUAGAUUCUUUCUUGGAGGCAUAGCCUAAAGCUUGCCCCUCCAGCCUUCCUACCAAUUUUGUAAGCAUUUUAUUUUCUAUAUUAAAACCUCUUCUGCUGAAAAGAACUACAGUGGUUUAUUUUUGCAGCUGAAACCUGACUUAUAUAACGCCUCUGCUCAAAUGCCUUCAAUAGCUCCCCAGCGCACUUAAGGCAAAUUCUGUAGUGUGGCAUAAAAUUUCCUGCCAAUCUAAUGUCCUUUGGCCUCCGUAUCCUCAGCACUUACCAGUGCCCUUUCAGUCUCUAUUCUCUAGCUACAUAGAAGCUACAGUAAUUCUCAUAACACACCAGGUUAUCUCGCCUCAGAGCCUAUAUAAACUGCUGCUUUAUUUCCCUAGCUCCCCACCUCAAAGCUCAGCUGAGGUGCCACCAGCUCCAGAAGCCUUUCUCUGACGUCCUCUCCCUCAAAAAUAUUCUGAAUGAUAGUCCUCUCCCAUAGAAUCCUAUGUUUAGCCCUCUUGAAACAUUUAUUAAACUGUAUUGUAUUUUUUUUCUUGUUUGUAUCCUUUACUGGACUGUGAAGCUAGGAGGGCAGAGACCAUGACUGUCUUGCUCACUGCUUUCUCCCUUGUGCCCAGCACAGUGCCUGACACUUAGCAGGUGCUUAAUAACAAACACCUGUUGGAUGCAUGAAUGUCUCCUUCAUCCACUGGUCUGCACUCAAAGACUCAUCUUCCAACCACAGAAGAAUGAAGGAGGCUGGGCACUGUUCACUCCAGCCAAGUGAGAAGAGUAAUGACCAAAUAACUACUAUGGAGUUACACACUUGGUUUUCAUUCUGGCUCUUUGGAGAUAGCUGCAUGGAGAAGAUAUUCCACCUCUUCCAGCCUUAGUUUCCCUACCUUUAAAGUAGGGUAAGUGUUGGGAGGAUUACAUGAAUUUGUACAUGUCAAGGCACUUUUUCUUUUCUUUUCAAUAGCUUUUGGAGUAUAAGUAGUUUUUCCUUACAUGGAUAAAUUAUAUAGUGGUGAAGUCAGAUUUUAGUGUACAGCCACCCAUGUAGUAUAUAUUGUACUCAAUAUGUAGUUUUCUAUUUCUUAUCCUCCUCCAACCCUUCCCCUUUGGAGUCUCCAAUAUCUAUUCUACCAUGUUGUAUGCCUUUGUGUACCCAUAGCUUAGUUCCUACUUAUAAGUGAGAACAUACAGUAUUUGAUUUUCUAUUCCUGAGUUACUUUACUUAUAAUAACAGCCUUUAGCUCCAUUCAAUUUACUUCAUAAAACACUAUUUAGUCCUUUUUUAUGGCUAAGUAGUAUUCCACGGUGUUUAUACACCACAUUUUUUUCAUACACUCAUUGAUUGUUGGGCACUUAGAUUAAUCCCAUAUCUUUGCAAUUGUGAAUUUUGCUGUGAUAAACAUACAUGUCUGGGCAACUUUUUGAUAUAAUGACUUCUUUCCAUCUGGGCAGAUACCCACUAGUGAGAUAGCUGGAUCAAAUGGGAAAUCUACUUUUGGUUGAGAAAUCUCUAUAUACUGUUUUCCAUAGAGGUUGUACUAAUGUAUAUAAUAUGGGUUGGCUCUGUGUUCCCAGCCAAAUUUUACCUUAAAUUGUAAUAAUUCCUAUGUGUUAAGGGAGGGGCCAGGUGGAGAUAAUUAAAUCAUGGGGGCUGUUUCCCCCAUACAGUUCUUGUAAUAGUGAGUUCUCAUGAGAUCUGAUGGUUUUUAUAAACAUUUGGCAUUUCCCCUGCUGCUAUAUUUUUUCUUUGCCUGCCACCAUCCAUGUUAAAUGUAACUUGCUCCCCCUUGUCUUCCACCAUAAUUGUGAGACCUCUCUAGCCAUGUGAAACUAUAAAUCCAAAUAAAUUUCUUUCUUUUGUAAAUUG